rfam:Zootermopsis nevadensis contig22543, whole genome shotgun sequence.
GCCACGGUGGUCUAGCGGUUAGAACGCUGGCCUUGUAAUCCUGGGGUCUCGGGUUCGACUCCCGGCGGUGCCC